AGUGAACGCUGGCGGUAGGCCUAACACAUGCAAGUCGAACGGCAGCACAGGAGAGCUUGCUCUCUGGGUGGCGAGUGGCGGACGGGUGAGGAAUACAUCGGAAUCUACUCUGUCGUGGGGGAUAACGUAGGGAAACUUACGCUAAUACCGCAUACGACCUACGGGUGAAAGUGGGGGACCGCAAGGCCUCACGCGAUUGAAUGAGCCGAUGUCGGAUUAGCUAGUUGGCGGGGUAAAGGCCCACCAAGGCGACGAUCCGUAGCUGGUCUGAGAGGAUGAUCAGCCACACUGGAACUGAGACACGGUCCAGACUCCUACGGGAGGCAGCAGUGGGGAAUAUUGGACAAUGGGCGCAAGCCUGAUCCAGCCAUACCGCGUGAGUGAAGAAGGCCCUCGGGUUGUAAAGCUCUUUUGUUGGGAAAGAAAUCCCAUCGGUUAAUACCUGGUGGGGAUGACGGUACCCAAAGAAUAAGCACCGGCUAACUUCGUGCCAGCAGCCGAC
rnacentral:rRNA from 1 species